GAGAACGAAGACAAAAGUUACGAGGGAAAACAAGCAAAAAAAAAUCAGAAAAAAGGGGCACGGGACAAGAAAGUCGUUGAUAAAUACGCCCAGCGCGCAGUCACACACAACAAAAUGGUGAACUGCGGCAUAUUACGGCGCGAUCAAGAAGCCUCCGGCGUUGGACCCCAACGCAGGCAAGACAUCAUCAGAUUGUCUUCUUUCAUUUGUUUUGUUUUGUCUGUGGUUUCCUUCGUUUUGAAUAGCUUUUUUUUUUUGCUUGUUUUCACUCGUAACUUUUGUCUUCGUUCUC